UACUGAGGACUCCACAUAUGGAUGCAGUACUUCAGGUGACUUUUCACCAGUGCAAAGCAGAGGGGCAGGAUCACCUCCCUUGCCCUGCUGGCCAUGCUGCUUUUGAUGCAGCCCAGGUACGAUUGGCUUUUGUAGGCUGCGAGGACACAUUGCUGGCUCAUGUCCAGCUUGCCAUCCACCAGUAUCCCCCAGGCCUUUUCAGCAGGGUUGUACUCCAUCCUUACAUCCCCCAGCUUGUACUGAUAGCAGGGGUUGCCAUGACUCAGGUGCAAAACCUUGAACUUGGAUUUAUUGAACCUCAUGAGUUUCUCCUGGGCCUGAGCCUGUGUAGGUCUCUCUGAAUAUCAUCCUGUCUCUUGGGUGUGUUGACAGCACCGCACAGCUUGGUGUCAUUUGCAAACUUGCUGAGGAUGCACUUGAUCCCACUGUUGAUGUCACUGAUGUUAAAGAGCACUGAUCCCUGUACCAACCCCUGAGGGACAGCACUUAUCACUGUUCUCCAUCUGGACAUUGAGCCAUUGAUGCCAUCUGUUUUUUUCAGGACACACACACAUUGUUCUCUUUUGGGCUUAGGGACUGCUAGCCUGAAUGGCUGGGGUCAGCUCACUGAGACUUGCUCAAAUAUGUGUAGUUCACAUUGUUCCAAACAACAUAAGCACAUAGGUCAUUUUUUUCCCUAAAUAAGAAUGCUAAGCAUCUAGUGGAAAUCUUCAGGAGAUGGAAAAAGUAAAGCUGUCUGUUACAGAUGUCGUGUGAAUUCAACACUAGUAAAAAGUGCUGGAUUUACAUCACUGAGACUUGAGGCUGCCAUUUUAAGUGCCACCUGCAGUGGUGGUUUAUGAGAGAUGAGGCUUGCUCCCCUAGAAGUUACGAGACCACCCAGCCCUGAUUACAUAUGCCAUGGAUUAGGAUUCAGAUGGUAAUGAUUUCUCACUAUUACCAAGGCCAGAUUUGAUCUGGUGACAUAAAAAGAGUUCAGAUGGUAUUAUGAAUCUGCUCAGCCUAGGUCCUCCAGAAAAUCUCCUCUUUUUUAGACAAGUUAUCUGAAUUUUACUCCCUUGAGGAAAGUCCUUAAUCAUGUAAGUAUUUCUUCUGAAACCACGGGGACUGUUUCAGUAAAUGGGAUUACAGGUUUAAGAAAGGACAUGCAAGAGUGAAUCAUAAUGCUUUUUGGUUCUGUAGCAGCAGUAAAUAGAGCACAGUGGCUUCUGGCUUCCUUUAGUUUGUCAUAGCACUACCAUCGCGUGUUUUUUUUUUUAAAUUUUAUUCUUUUUUAAAGUAAAGCCUAAUGCAAUGCUCAUUAAUAUCAGGAAUUUUACUGAGAAGAAUUAAACAGAACUUGCAGGAUAUCAGGAAAACAAUGAAGUCUGUAGUCACAAAAUGGAGUACUCCAGAGAGGGAUAAAUAUCAAGAAACAAAACAAAAGGUGAAAUGAAAGGGAAGUGGGAUGAUAGGGAAACAGGUUUGAGCUUAUCAGGGAAAUGCUCUGUUUUCACAUGAGUACAUUUGUUAAAGCAUAUAAAUAAGUAUAUGUAAAUAUAUGUAAAUAGUUCUCUGAGGUGAAUAAGAAAUUAUAAUGAAAAGGAUAGACAAAGUUAUUAAUUGAAAGUAAUGAUAAACCCAACCUUUGUAGUUACAAGAUUUACUUCAGCUCCAGAAACCCGGGUAAAAAGUUUGGGGAGCAUUUUAAGGCUGUGACGUUGACUUGCCACAGCACAAAGAAAAGAAUUUGCUUGUUCAGGACAACUAUUGCAUUUAUGGCUUUGAAUGAAGCCAGUGUGAAACACCCAAUGAGCAGGCACACCUCCUCUUGGGCCUUGGUACUGGAAAACAAGAGCUUUCUGAGAGUUUGUGUCCAACCAGCCACCUCUGCCACAACAGAAAAUAACAGCGUGGCCUACCCUUGAUAGUUAACUAGCAGAAAAAUGUGCUUAGUAAGAGUAUUUAACAGGGCCACUUUUGGUGCAAGCUUCUCAUGAGUCUGAUCGAGGUGGCUCUUGCCUGGUUGUGACAUAUCACAUGGGCUAAACAUAUUGUCAUGGGCAAAUGCCUUGCAAAAAGGAAAUGCAAACCUUCAAAUUUUUAAUAGCUUUGUGCAUGCAGCUUGUGUGCACUUUUCCAGCUCUUACACUGAAGACAGUUUAUCCAAAUACUAGAAAAGAACCACUGCAUCUGCUGUGUUGGAGAUGCCUAAAUCUGCUCCCUGGGUUUGAGUGAAUACAGCUCUAACUCUGCCACCUCCAUAACCACCUCAGCGAAUGAAUACAGACAUAAAUAGUUUGGGCAAAAGUCAUCUUUAAUGUCACAACUGUCUCUUUAAUAGAAAUGUGAAUUUGGUGCUGCCUGUUCAGCAAGCUAAAAGAACAAAUUUUGUAGUAACCCUCAUAAAAACCUCAGAACUUGAUUCUUCUUUCACUUAUGCAGGUAUAAAUCACCACUGAAGUCAACAGAGUUAUACCGGCUUUAAUUCUUGUACAUAUGAGAGGAGAUGGAAGCCCUUAAGGUACCAUGUAUUUUACGUAGAUGCCUUGUGGAUCAGGAAACAGGAUUUCUACAGAUGCUUCCACAACCUGUCUCUCUUCUCAAAUAGCUGCCUACAGUUCAGCAUGGAUAUGUGUAUGCAUGGAUAAUUUCUAACUACUUUUUAUAUGUUGACUUAGUCUAACACAAAUUCUUCUACAUUGCUACCAUGAUGUUGACAGACUUUAAGUCUUUUAUGUUGCAGUAUCUUAAAUCUAUAUGUAAGAGAAAACUAGGCACCUGGGAAACAAAUGACCAUCAAACUACUUACACACAGUCCUACUGAAGAGGUGAACAAGAGGCUAGGUUGUUUUGAUGGUUCUCAGAUAUCACAAUGUUAAACAUGGGACAGGUGAGUGGAUGGAUGGCAAAGGAGAGAGUAAACUGGUUACACUGAACAAAUAAAUACUUAACUGUCACCUAGUGCCUCUAAAACUACAUUUUAAGCAGGAGGUAAGCUGUUAAAGCAUGUAACUGAAAAAUUAGGAGCGUGUUGGUGUCAUCCCUGAAGCCUCUUAUCUUUAAUGAGAAAAAGCAAUGUAGAGGAAACAAGCUUCAAAGGGCACCACUGAACACGCUAAUAUCACUAUCACAUGUUGAUGUUUCAGACCAACAGCCAUUUAAAACCCUUAUUCAUUCUACUUCUGGGCAAUGAAAGGUGUCUAGCAGUUUGACUCCAUUGUCAUCAGCUAAACACAAAAAACACUGACAAUGUCAGACAGAUUAAUCUGAAGGAGAUGCAGCCUUUGACCAGGUUUCUGCAAGCACUGAAUAUCUUCACUUGUUAAAGUAGUUCCACUGAGCCUGGAGGGUCUGGGUCUCCUUCCAGAUUUACUGACAGAAAGAGACUCUUAGCCAUAAAUGUUUGCAAGAGGAAGCUCCAAAAGAGACAAAGGAACAUAAUUACAAUCACAUUAAGAAUGUUUAUUAGAAAACUUAAUAGUGGUCUUGUUCAGAAUAAAACUUCUGGAUAAGAAAAAUUCAGUAUCAACAGGUGGGGCAGAGAGAAUUUUAAAAUAUUUGCUGGUGCACUUCUCCUGGCAUGCCACAGCAACAAAGAAAGGCUCUUAAUUUUUGAAAAGAACUAGAGAGAUUCUCUUUAGGAGUUCAAAAUGAACAUGUACUGAGAGUAUUACAGCCAGAAUAAUAUUAACAUUCUAAGAAAGACAUUUCUUACAAGACACUGGGUGCUAGUAAGAGCGCUGCUAGCAGCCACAGCACAGACACACCUGCUAAGCCAUCCACUUAGAAGGGAACAUGCAAGCCUUGAUUAUUUGCACUUCCCUCACUUAAUAUAGCAGAGUUCUUCCGAGUUUUCCCUAAAUUUUUAUGAAAGUCAUAUGGUACAGCAUCUAAAAGAUUUAAUUUAGUAAACAAGUAAACAAAAAUCUGCAGCUCAGAGAGCCAAUUUCAAUGUGAUUUAUUUUAUACUCCAUAGAGUUUCACUGGUGACAAUGGUUUUUUACAGGUUAUAAGUGCAAAAGAAUGCGACCCAGAGACAGGCUUCAUGUUCCUCUUUGGCAAAUGCUGUCUCCCAUCUGUUUGUCACUAUUAGAACAUUUUUUCAUUGGCAGAUGAAAAACAAAACAUACAAAAAGAUCCAGUAAACUAUUCCAUACUCUAGUCAGUGCAACCAAGCCUGUGCAGUCAUUAAGCUGAUAAUAAUGCAGCCUCUUAUGUAGGCCAACUGUCAGAAAUGCUCAAUGCAAUACAGCCCAGUGACUGAUGAUGUACUUGUGGAGCUUUUGGAACAUGAUACAAGAGAAGUGAUCGCAUGUCCUUUUUACUCUAUUUAGAAAUAUAAAGUGUUUCGUGUCAUAAGAUUCUUACUUUGUGUCUCCUCUUGUUAGCUUUGUUGUUGUUAUGUCUGGCAAAAAAUUAAAAUCUUAAAAUACA